rnacentral:tRNA from 2 species
GCGAGUGUAGUUCAGUGGUAGAACAUCGGCUUUCCAAGCCGAGGACAUGGGUUCGAUUCCUGUCGCUCGCU